rnacentral:rRNA from 1 species
UACGUAGGGAGCAAGCGUUGUCCGGAAUCAUUGGGCGUAAAGCGCGCGUAGGCGGCCCUGUAAGUCCGUUGUGAAAGUCAAAGGCUCAACCUUUGAAAGCCGAUGGAUACUGCAGGGCUAGAGUCCGGAAGAGGCGAGUGGAAUUCCUGGUGUAGCGGUGGAAUGCGCAGAUAUCAGGAUGAACACCAAUAGCGAAGGCAGCUCGCUGGGACGGUACUGACGCUAAGGCGCGAAAGCGUGGGGAGCGAACAGG